rnacentral:rRNA from 1 species
AGCAGCCGCGGUAAUUCCAGCUCCAAUAGCGUAUAUUAAAGUUGUUGCAGUUAAAAAGCUCGUAGUUGAAUUUCGGGGUCAGCAGGUCGGUCGUGCCAAUGGUAUGCACUGGCCUUGCUGAUUCCUCCCUCUUGAUGAGCUGUAAUGCCAUUAAUUUGGUGUUGCGGGGAAUCAGGACUGUUACUUUGAAAAAAUUAGAGUGUUUAAAGCAGGCAAGCGCUUGAAUACAUUAGCAUGGAAUAAUGAAAUAGGACGUUUGAUCCUAUUUUGUUGGUUUCUAGGAUUGACGUAAUGAUUAAUAGGGAUAGUUGGGGGCAUUAGUAUUCAAUUGUCAGAGGUGAAAUUCUUGGAUUUAUUGAAGACUAACUACUGCGAAAGCAUUUGCCAAGGAUGUUUUCAUUAAUCAAGAACGAAAGUUAGGGGAUCGAAGACGAUCAGAUACCGUCGUAGUCUUAACCAUAAACUAUGCCGACUAGGGAUCGGAUGAUGUUAAUUUUUUAAUGUACU